rnacentral:lncRNA from 1 species
UAUUUGAAGAACUUCUUUUAUCUUUAUUUUGCAUUAAAUUUUAAGCAUAAUGGAACUUUAAUUGACUGUUCUACACAUAUUUAUUUGUCCAAAACAUACCGCAGUGAGAUAUUUUUGUUCUAAACAAACGGUCGUAUGUUUUAGGAAACAGAAAGAUUUUUAAAACAAAUUGUAGUAAUUUUCAUUUCCUAUUUCGAAAACAGACGUUUACAAUUUUUUGAAGUGAAUUUUUCAUUUUAUUUGCCCUUAAUGAAUGAAUAGCACAAGUAAUGACAUAAUGCUAACACGAGCAUUAUCAACUACCCUAGCAUACAAAGUUUAUUUAUUAUGGUAGUUGUCAUGUCUUGUUGACUAUGGAUACGAAAACGUAUGCUUAAGCAAAGCAUAAAAUUCGUGCUAUGCUUCGUAGAAUUCCAGGACGCAAUUUCAUACGCAUUUCUCCAUCCUGGUUGCAGUACAGUAAAAUAUGUCAUAUACAUUUGUAUAUCUGCAUUAAAACAAUAUUUACCUAAGAUAAAUGAUGGGGAAUUAUAUAUUUAAGUUAAAGUAAUUAAUCAUGUCGGUUUUUCAUUUAAAAGCGCCAUGUCAUUUUGCCUUUUGAACAUGCAACGUAAACAAUUAAACGAAAAAUGCACCUGUCCCGCGUAUUAUACUAUAUUAUAGUUGUAAAACAACAAUUUGUUUUUUUCUAAAUUUUCUAUUUACGGUCGUAUGACUUAUCCCGGAAUACGAUCGUUUUGUGAUCGUGCCUUGGUUCAGAAAACCUCCCCUGACCUUGAUAAUUUGUAUAAAAGCGUAAAGUUUUUGGUAAAAUUUUAAAACGACGAAGAAUUUAGAACCGUUAUUGCAGUUUAUGUUAUAUUUGCAUACUUUGAUACAAAAAGAAUUUAUCAAGUACAUAUCAUAGAAUAGAUUGAAAUACACUUCUUCUUUGGCGCAAGUUAUUUACAAAGAUUACCAUAAUGAGCUGGGGAAGUUCUUGGAGUAGCGGGAGUUGGUCUAGCAGCAGUAGCUCCUGUAGUGGAUGGGGAAACUCCUGGAAUAGUUGCGAGGACAACAAAAACCCAGAGGGUCAGCAUAAUUCCACGUGCAUUGCUGGCACUAGUUCCUGGGGACACAGCGGACCAAUGAGCGAUUGCUACGACGAAAGCUGCUCUGGUUGCCGACAUGACCGAGCUGUUUCAACAUGGAGUGGCUCUCCAUCUGGGGUAAAUACGACACUUAAAUUAGCUGCGCUCCUUGGCAUGGGGGUAGCUGCAAAGAAAAGUCUCUGGGACUGAAGCUCACCGAUAUAGAGUCUAAAAGUCUGAGUAAUAUUUGUAAUGUAACAGUAACAUUUCUUUUACAGAGAUGUUAACACAGCAGAAGCAAACACGACUAUAUUUUCAUGACAUAUAUCAUGGAAAUAACUAACAUUUAGAACAGUUCAAAGGCAGUACCCGGAGAGAACAUUGGAAUCUCGGAUCCUAGAGCUGUUGAGACAACAAUAUAUUUUUGCAAUGUGAUACGGGAUAUGUGCAAUAGACGUUAUAUUGUUUAAAUAUUGACUGUAUGUGUAUUAAACAAGAAACAAGCAUAUACAUAUAUUUGUCACAAAAUAUCUUAAAAUUUCGUUUAUGCUUAAAUUUAUGUGAUUAUUACACGUUUGUUAUGUGUAUGUUCCAUUCUUUUCACACAUCAUUUAUCUAAAUGGAUCUAUGUCGUAUCAUUUCUGUAAUUCUUUUUACAUUGUAGAUAUUUACAUACCUUUAAUAUUUUUAUGUUAACAAAUAAUUUGAAAUAAAAAAUGAAAAAUC